ensembl:lncRNA
GCUUUCAGAUUUUUUAAUUGUCUCAGAUCAGCAUAGUACAUGUUUAUCCAGCUUUGGUUUUUCCCUUUGGAAUUAAAAUUUUGAAGAGUUUCCUGCAAACAUCGAUUUGAAAUGACACUCUGCAGGUGAAGUGGGAAGAACAAUAAAAUAGCAUGUGUUUAAGGUGGCAAGAAAUAGCUGCUCUUUUUGGAUCAUCUAUAGGUGAAGGAAGAAGAAAAUGGACAAGAACAGCACAGAGAACAAAAGCGAGUAGCAGCCUAGUAGGAGUAAAAGAUUAUUCCUCUAGCACCUAUGACUGAGUUCCCAAUUUAACUUCUGUAGUCCAAUUUCUUCUUCCAAGAACAUGACUGUAAAAAUGGCCUAAUGAGUGUGCUGCAAGUCCUGGACAGGUGUUGGAAAUCUAGGAUGCUGAAACAGCUUUGAAGCACUGUGUUUUGCUACUGCUGAGACAGCAUGCUGUGUUUGGCAAACAACUGAAAAUAGGAGGAGGUGAGGUUUAGCCUUGUUGUUUAUACCAGACAAUGAAAUUGUAUGAUGUUCCACCAUCCUUGGUGUUAAGAUGAACAUGUUUUUCUGCAGCUCAAGCUUCUCUAUGAUCUACACAAGUUCUCUGCUAUGCUGGACUUGAUUGCAUUUAAAAAGAAAGAAGAAAAAUGAGUGGUUUUAAAAAAAAAAAAAAAAAUCCCCUCAAGGCUACAGCUCCUGACAAGUUUCUUCAUUUUCAAAAAAGAUUAAUGAAGGGUAACUUGUUUAAGUAAGGAAUCUAUUUCUUGCUUCUGAAGUAGGGUUCAAGUUAAGUGGCAGAAUUGUCUUUUUUUUUUUUUUUUGCUUAGAGGGAGAAGCUUUGCUAUACAUUAAACACAAGAUUUUUUUUCUUCCAACUCUUAAAAUAUGAAUUUCCAUCCUCUGAAGUGGAAUAUUGACAAAGCAAGAGAGAUUUAUCCAUGGUUCAAGUGUAUCUGAACAAACUGUCCAUGCUAUCAGUUUUGAUAUGGCAGCCAUUAGACCCAUGUUUAAAAAGCUAAUGCUGCCAACUUAACACCCUUCCUGUUCUUGACCCCAGUCCUCAAGAGUUCAUGAGGGGGUAGCUGUUGCCGUGACUGUGUAAAGCAGAUAUAUACACAUUUACAACACUUUUAUUAGCAGCAAACAAUUUCUGUUUCUUUCUGACUGUUGCUCACAAAAAGGUUUUAAAGAAGAAUUAACUGAGGCUUCUGAGAAGCCUGAGUGAGUAGGAGUUCUGUGAUCUAUAACAACAGAAAAUGCAGGAUGGCCUCCAAUGAGAUGCUUAGAUAGUUGUAGUGCUGGCUUCAGUAUCCUGAAGUCAGUCUUCAAAGGUGUUAUAUUUAAUAAGCUACUACAUAAAGGUUACGUGUGAUUGCAUUUGAUUAUUUUGAGGAGGAAAGUCAAAUUUUCAAUUAUGAUUUUGAAGAAUGUGUCAUUUUUUAAAAAAAAUGAUCUAUCAUUCAGUUUACGUCUGCCUGGCUGUGAAGUCAUCAGGAAUUUUCUUUGUUAGAUCAGUCAUGUCACUACAGAAGGAAAACUGCUGAACUUGCAUGCUGCUUGUUUCUGCUGUGCAAGCAUUCAAUAUUUCAUAUGAUAGCUUUAAUAAAUUUCAUGCCUCUCUUUAGAGGGACA